rnacentral:tRNA from 1 species
UGUAGCUCAGUGGUAGAGCUGCCUGGCCAGAACACAGAGGCCCUGGGUUCAAAUCCCAGCA